UCAGAGUUGGGCGUCGACCACCCUGAGGGGAGCGCAGGUGCUCCCUGCGCCCUCCCUGCGCUCAUUCCUGCUUCUUGCCCAGAGAUUUCUCGUGACGGCCCAGCUACGUUGUCACCCUCUUCUUCCAUCUCCAUCUGAGGAGUUUCUUUCCUUACGACAUCAGCUGACUUUUGCAGCCAGUUUGUUUUGUCUCGUGUCUGUGACUGACACCGUACGGAAGCAGCCCUCAGACCUGACCGCACUGCCCACACGCAGGGGAGUAGCCCAGGCUCUCAGGCAGCUGGCAGCAGCCCUGAGGCUGACAUGUACCCUGAACACGAUGGCACCCCCAAGCCCAGAAAGAAGCGCGGAGCUGGGCUGCCCCUGCCAGAGCAGCGAUGGUCCGUGAGGAUGUUGCACACACUCCCCCACGGAUGAGCCCAGAACCCAGCGCAGCCUGGAUUGGCCCACGAGGAGGAAGGUCUGGGAAGGCGCUGGGGAGGAAAGAACCCUGUGGUCGAGGUCUCUACCUCUGCCCACUUCAGGAAAAGCAGCAAAGAAUGAAGCCAACAAAGG
ensembl:lncRNA